AACUGCUCUUUAACAAUUUAUCAGACAAUCUGUGUGGGCACUCAAAGUGACAUGGAUUCUUAACGUCCUAGGACGAAAAAUGAAUACCAAGUCUCAAGAGUGAACACGUAAUUCAUUACAAAGUUUAAUUCUUUGAGCAUCAAACUUAAAUUGAAGAGUUUGAUCAUGGCUCAGAUUGAACGCUGGCGGCAGGCCUAACACAUGCAAGUCGAGCGGUAGCACAGAGAGCUUGCUCUCGGGUGACGAGCGGCGGACGGGUGAGUAAUGUCUGGGAAACUGCCUGAUGGAGGGGGAUAACUACUGGAAACGGUAGCUAAUACCGCAUAACGUCGCAAGACCAAAGUGGGGGACCUUCGGGCCUCAUGCCAUCAGAUGUGCCCAGAUGGGAUUAGCUAGUAGGUGGGGUAACGGCUCACCUAGGCGACGAUCCCUAGCUGGUCUGAGAGGAUGACCAGCCACACUGGAACUGAGACACGGUCCAGACUCCUACGGGAGGCAGCAGUGGGGAAUAUUGCACAAUGGGCGCAAGCCUGAUGCAGCCAUGCCGCGUGUGUGAAGAAGGCCUUCGGGUUGUAAAGCACUUUCAGCGGGGAGGAAGGCGGUGAGGUUAAUAACCUCAUCGAUUGACGUUACCCGCAGAAGAAGCACCGGCUAACUCCGUGCCAGCAGCCGCGGUAAUACGGAGGGUGCAAGCGUUAAUCGGAAUUACUGGGCGUAAAGCGCACGCAGGCGGUCUGUCAAGUCGGAUGUGAAAUCCCCGGGCUUAACCUGGGAACUGCAUUCGAAACUGGCAGGCUAGAGUCUUGUAGAGGGGGGUAGAAUUCCAGGUGUAGCGGUGAAAUGCGUAGAGAUCUGGAGGAAUACCGGUGGCGAAGGCGGCCCCCUGGACAAAGACUGACGCUCAGGUGCGAAAGCGUGGGGAGCAAACAGGAUUAGAUACCCUGGUAGUCCACGCCGUAAACGAUGUCGAUUUGGAGGUUGUGCCCUUGAGGCGUGGCUUCCGGAGCUAACGCGUUAAAUCGACCGCCUGGGGAGUACGGCCGCAAGGUUAAAACUCAAAUGAAUUGACGGGGGCCCGCACAAGCGGUGGAGCAUGUGGUUUAAUUCGAUGCAACGCGAAGAACCUUACCUGGUCUUGACAUCCACAGAACUUUCCAGAGAUGGAUUGGUGCCUUCGGGAACUGUGAGACAGGUGCUGCAUGGCUGUCGUCAGCUCGUGUUGUGAAAUGUUGGGUUAAGUCCCGCAACGAGCGCAACCCUUAUCCUUUGUUGCCAGCGGUCCGGCCGGGAACUCAAAGGAGACUGCCAGUGAUAAACUGGAGGAAGGUGGGGAUGACGUCAAGUCAUCAUGGCCCUUACGACCAGGGCUACACACGUGCUACAAUGGCAUAUACAAAGAGAAGCGACCUCGCGAGAGCAAGCGGACCUCAUAAAGUAUGUCGUAGUCCGGAUUGGAGUCUGCAACUCGACUCCAUGAAGUCGGAAUCGCUAGUAAUCGUAGAUCAGAAUGCUACGGUGAAUACGUUCCCGGGCCUUGUACACACCGCCCGUCACACCAUGGGAGUGGGUUGCAAAAGAAGUAGGUAGCUUAACCUUCGGGAGGGCGCUUACCACUUUGUGAUUCAUGACUGGGGUGAAGUCGUAACAAGGUAACCGUAGGGGAACCUGCGGUUGGAUCACCUCCUUA
rnacentral:rRNA from 1 species